rnacentral:misc_RNA from 1 species
AACUUGUUGCAAUGUGUCACUUGGCUCUCGCAUCGAUGAAGAACGCAGCGAAAUGCGAUAAGUAAUGUGAAUUGCAGAAUUCAGUGAAUCAUCGAAUCUUUGAACGCACCUUGCGCUCCUUGGUAUUCCGAGGAGCAUGCCUGUUUGAGUGUCAUUAAAUUCUCAACCUCAUUGAGCUUUUGUUAGCUAAAUGAGGCUUGGACUGUGGGGGAUUUUGUGCGGGCUUUCUUUUCAAAGUCGGCUCCCCUUAAAUGCAUUAGCAGGAAAACCUUUGUGGACCGUCUUUGGUGUGAUAAUUAUCUACGCCAUUGCCGUGAAGCAGCUUAUACAUGGGAUUUCCAGCUUCAAACCGUCCUUUUUCAGAGGACAAUACUUAAUUGACAUUUUGACCUCAAAUCAGGUAGGACUACCCGCUGAACUUAAGCAUAUCAAUAAGCGGAGGCU